rnacentral:rRNA from 1 species
UACGUAGGCAGCGAGCGUUGUUCGGAAUUACUGGGCGUAAAGAGUGUGUAGGCGGUGUUCCCAGUCUGUUGUGAAAUCUCCCGGCUCACCUGGGAGGGCGCCGUUGGCGACUGGCCGACUGGAGGCAGGUAGAGGCCGGUGGAAUUCCCGGUGUAGUGGUGAAAUGCGUAGAUAUCGGGAGGAACACCAGUGGCGAAAGCGGCCGGCUGGGCCUGUCCUGACGCUGAGACGCGAAAGCGUGGGGAGCAAACAGG